rnacentral:rRNA from 1 species
UACGAAGGGUGCAAACGUUGCUCGGAAUUAUUGGGCGUAAAGCGCACGUAGGCGGCUUGGCAAGUCGGAUGUGAAAUCCCUCGGCUCAACCAAGGAAGUGCAUUCGAUACUGCCGUGCUUGAGGACUGGAGAGGAGACUGGAAUUUACGGUGUAGCGGUGAAAUGCGUAGAUAUCGUAAGGAAGACCAGUGGCGAAGGCGGGUCUCUGGACAGUUCCUGACGCUGAGGCACGAAGGUCAGGGGAGCAAACGGG